ACUCAAAUGAAUAGACGGGGGCCCGCACAAGCGGUGGAGCAUGUGGUUCAAUUCGACGCAACGCGAAGAACCUUACCUGGGCUCGAACGGCUCACGAAAGCGCCUGGAAACAGGUGUUUCCCGCAAGGGACGGGAGUCGAGGUGCUGCAUGGCUGUCGUCAGCUCGUGUCGUGAGAUGUUGGGUUAAGUCCCGCAACGAGCGCAACCCUUGUCCUGUGUUGCUAAGCCGAAAGGCAGUACUCUCAGGAGACCGCCAGCGAUAAGCUGGAGGAAGGUGGGGAUGACGUCAAGUCCUCAUGGCCUUUAUGUCCAGGGCUACACACGUGCUACAAUGGGCGGUACAAAGCGCUGCGAAGUCGCGAGACCGAGCCAAUCGCAAAAAACCGCUCUCAGUUCGGAUUGCAGGCUGCAACUCGCCUGCAUGAAGCCGGAAUCGCUAGUAAUGCCGUAUCAGAACGAUGGCGUGAAUACGUUCCCGGGCCUUGUACACACCGCCCGU
rnacentral:rRNA from 1 species